rnacentral:misc_RNA from 1 species
UGGCUCUGGCAUCGAUGAAGAACGCAGCGAAAUGCGAUAAGUAAUGUGAAUUGCAGAAUUCAGUGAAUCAUCGAAUCUUUGAACGCACAUUGCGCCCGCUGGCAUUCCAGCGGGCAUGCCUGUCCGAGCGUCAUUUCAACCCUCAGGACCCCCCUCCCCCUCGCGGGGUUGGGCGGGACCUGGCGUUGGGGAUCGGCCCGCCCCCGCGCGGAGCCGCCCCCUAAAUCCAGUGGCGGUCUCGCCGCGGCCUCCCCUGCGUAGUAGUAAAGAACCUCGCACCGGAAGCGCGGCGCGGCCACGCCGUGAAACCCCCGACUUAGAACGUUGACCUCGGAUCAGGUAGGAAUACCCGCUGA